rnacentral:lncRNA from 1 species
UGUGUUGUGUUAACUUGCGUUUGAUGUUUUAUUUUUUAUUUAUUUUUAUUUGAUUUAUCCACACUAAAAUAUCCCAACUAUUAGUUGGAGACUUGAUAAAAUGGCAACGUUCGAUGAAGCUUUUAUUUGAUGAUGCAUUUUGAGGGGUACCUGUAAAAUACUUUAACGCCCAAAACAGUGACUCAUCGAAACAAAGGGUGAAAUGUUUUUAAGGUUUCAAG